rnacentral:rRNA from 1 species
ACUCCUACGGAAGGCAGCAGUGGGGAAUCUUGCGCAAUGGGCGAAAGCCUGACGCAGCGACGCCGCGUGAGCGAUGAAGGCCUCGGGUUGUAAGCUCUGUGGAGGGGGACGGAAUAAGGGCACGCUAAUACCGUGUUUGAUGACGGUACCCCUUUAGCAAGCACCGGCUAACUCUGUGCCAGCAGCCGCGGUAAU